rnacentral:rRNA from 1 species
GAACGCUAGCGGCAGGCCUAAUACAUGCAAGUCGAGGGGCAGCGGGACCAGCAAUGGUUGCCGGCGACCGGCGCACGGGUGCGUAACACGUAUACAAUCUGCCUUUAACAGGGGAAUAGCCCGGAGAAAUCCGGAUUAAUACCCCAUAAUAUCUUGAGUGGCAUCACUUGGGAUUGAAAGCUCCGGCGGUUAAAGAUGAGUAUGCGUCUGAUUAGUUAGUUGGUGAGGUAACGGCUCACCAAGACAGCGAUCAGUAGGGGAUCUGAGAGGACUACCCCCCACACGGAUACUGAGACACGGAUCCGACUCCUACGGGAGGCAGCAGUAAGGAAUAUUGGACAAUGCCCGCAAGGGUGAUCCAGCCAUGCCGCGUGCGGGAAGACGGCCCUAUGGGUUGUAAACUGCUUUUACACCAGGGAAAACCCCAGUACGUGUACUGGGCUGAUAGUAUGGUGAGAAUAAGCAUCGGCUAACUUCGUGCCAGCAGCCGCGGUAAGACGAAGGAUGCAAGCGUUAUCCGAAUUCAUUGGGUUUAAAGGGAGCGUAGGUGGCCUUGUAAGUCAGUGGUGAAAUCUCUGGGCUUAACCCAGAAAUUGCCAUUGAUACUGCAGGGCUUGAGUAUAGAUGCCGUUGGCGGAAUAUGACAUGUAGUGGUGAAAUACAUAGAGAUGUCAUAGAACACCGAUUGCGAAGCAGCUGACGAAACUAUAACUGACACUGAGCUCGAAAGUGUGGGGAUCAAACAGAUAGAUACCCUGGUAGUCCACACUGUAAACGAUGAUACUCGCUGCUGGGAGGUACUUUCAGUGGCUGAGCGAAGCGAUAGUAUCCACCUGGGG